rnacentral:rRNA from 1 species
AAAUGAAUAGACGGGGGCCCGCACAAGCAGCGGAGCAUGUGGUUUAAUUCGAAGCAACGCGAAGAACCUUACCAAGGCUUGACAUCCCUUGCCAUCUUAGGAAACUAAGAGUUCCCUUCGGGGACAAGGAGACAGGUGGUGCAUGGUUGUCGUCAGCUCGUGUCGUGAGAUGUUGGGUUAAGUCCCGCAACGAGCGCAACCCCUGUGUACAGUUACCAGUAUUAAGUUAGGGACUCUGUACAGACUGCCGUGGACAACACGGAGGAAGGUGGGGACGACGUCAAAUCAUCAUGCCCCUUAUGUCUUGGGCUACACACGUGCUACAAUGGUCGCAACAGAGGGCAGCGAAAUGGCAACAUGGAGCGAAUCUCAGAAAAGCGAUCUCAGUUCGGAUUGUGGGCUGCAACCCGCCCACAUGAAGAUGGAGUUGCUAGUAAUCGCGAAUCAGCAUGUCGCGGUGAAUGCGUUCCCGGGCCUUGUACACACCGCCCGU